rnacentral:rRNA from 1 species
GACGAACGCUGGCGGCGUGCUUAACACAUGCAAGUCGAACGGAAAGGCCCUGCUUUUGUGGGGUGCUCGAGUGGCGAACGGGUGAGUAACACGUGAGUAACCUGCCCUUGACUUUGGGAUAACUUCAGGAAACUGGGGCUAAUACCGGAUAGGAGCUCCUGCUGCGUGGUGGGGGUUGGAAAGUUUCGGCGGUUGGGGAUGGACUCGCGGCUUAUCAGCUUGUUGGUGGGGUAGAGGCUUACCAAGGCUUUGACGGGUAGCCGGCCUGAGAGGGUGACCGGCCACAUUGGGACUGAGAUACGGCCCAGACUCCUACGGGAGGCAGCAGUGGGGAAUAUUGCACAAUGGGCGGAAGCCUGAUGCAGCAACGCCGCGUGCGGGAUGACGGCCUUCGGGUUGUAAACCGCUUUCGCCUGUGACGAAGCGUGAGUGACGGUAAUGGGUAAAGAAGCACCGGCUAACUACGUG